UAAUUAUUUUUAAAAUUGUUUUGAAUUUUAAUGGAAAUAGUAUAACAACAACUGUAGUCCACUUGUCCCACAAAGUAGCGUGUUUCUCUGUGAGGUUUAACAUCAAAAGGUAAAUAAAACCCAAGCAAGAUGAAAGUAUUCAAGGUUCUGUUCACCAUACUGUUGAUGCUGAUGGCAGUUUUAGCGGGAACAGCCAGUGGACGGCAUGCAUACGACAAAAGAAUCAAAAGAGAUGCUAAUGACAACACAUUAGGAAGCGUAGACGCGAUUCUACCAGACGACUUCCAAAAGGAGGCACUUGGUGCAAAGAGAUGAGAGGACUAGUAACACAACGGACUGGAUUCUUUAUAAUCAUAUUGGUGGAUUUGGUCUCUAUAUUGACGUUUCUGUAUUUGUCAUAUUUCUUUAUAUCAUGUAAAUCAUAAUUCUACUUACAAAACAUUAUAUUUUAUAACUUGAAAAAUAAAUCAUUUGCCUUAUAAA